GAUGAACGCUGGCCGCGUGCCUAAUACAUGCAAGUCGAGCGAACAGACGAGGAGCUUGCUCCUCUGACGUUAGCGGCGGACGGGUGAGUAACACGUGGAUAACCUACCUAUAAGACUGGGAUAACUUCGGGAAACCGGAGCUAAUACCGGAUAAUAUAUUGAACCGCAUGGUUCAAUAGUGAAAGACGGUUUUGCUGUCACUUAUAGAUGGAUCCGCGCCGCAUUAGCUAGUUGGUAAGGUAACGGCUUACCAAGGCAACGAUGCGUAGCCGACCUGAGAGGGUGAUCGGCCACACUGGAACUGAGACACGGUCCAGACUCCUACGGGAGGCAGCAGUAGGGAAUCUUCCGCAAUGGGCGAAAGCCUGACGGAGCAACGCCGCGUGAGUGAUGAAGGUCUUCGGAUCGUAAAACUCUGUUAUUAGGGAAGAACAAAUGUGUAAGUAACUAUGCACGUCUUGACGGUACCUAAUCAGAAAGCCACGGCUAACUACGUG
rnacentral:rRNA from 1 species